rnacentral:lncRNA from 1 species
UAGUCAUUCAUUUUGAGACUUCGUUCAUUAGGCAAACGAAGUCUAAAAAUUAUAAAAUUUAGUUUCAAAAUAGUUCUAAUAGUUUAAAUCAUGCCGAACGAAAUCAAUCGUCGAAUUAGAUAUCACAUCAUUAAAAAUAACUUAUAAAUAUGAACAUCUUCGUACUUUCGAAAGCAUAGAAGUCUAGCUCCAAAAAUUCACGGUUACAUAUAAUAGAAGUCUCUUUUUCCAAUCCAUAUCAAAACAA